UUUUAACCGAAGUUUGGAUAAGGAAGUGAAUUUAAGCUAUCACGUUGUAAUUUGGUGAAUUUUACACAAGGCUACGCUUUAGCCAAUAGGGGGAUUUUUUUACAUGAAAAACGGUAAAGUAAAAUGGUUCAACUCUGAAAAAGGUUUCGGAUUCAUCGAAGCUGAAGAUGGAAACGACGUAUUCGUUCACUUUUCUGCUAUCCAAACAGAAGGUUUCAAAACUUUAGAAGAAGGUCAAGAAGUCUCUUUCGAAGUUGUUGAAGGUGCUCGUGGACCACAAGCUGCUAACGUAAUUAAGAAGUAAUCUAUGAAACAACCAUUUAACAGCCUGCCAAAGUGUCGGCUGUUUUUU
rnacentral:sRNA from 1 species